UACAGAGGGCUCAAGCGUUGUUCGGAUUCAUUGGGCGUAAAGGGUGCGUAGGUGGCGCCGUAAGUCAGGUGUGAAAUUUCGGAGCUUAACUCCGAAACUGCAUUUGAUACUGCGGUGCUUGAGGACUGGAGAGGAGACUGGAAUUCACGGUGUAGCAGUGAAAUGCGUAGAUAUCGUGAGGAAGACCAGUGGCGAAGGCGGGUCUCUGGGCCGAUACUGACGCUGAGGAGCGAAAGCGUGGGGAGCAAACAGG
rnacentral:rRNA from 1 species